UACAGAGGUCUCAAGCGUUGUUCGGAUUCAUUGGGCGUAAAGGGUGCGUAGGCGGCGCGGUAAGUCGGGUGUGAAAUCUCGGGGCUUAACUCCGAAACUGCAUUCGAUACUGCCGUGCUUGAGGACUGGAGAGGAGACUGGAAUUUACGGUGUAGCGGUGAAAUGCGUAGAUAUCGGGAGGAACACCAGUGGCGAAGGCGGCUACCUGGCCCACUCUUGACGCUGAGGCGCGAAAGCUAGGGGAGCAAACGGG
rnacentral:rRNA from 1 species